GCAAACUUGGUCAUUUAGAGGAAGUAAAAGUCGUAACAAGGUUUCCGUAGGUGAACCUGCGGAAGGAUCAUUAGAGAGACAUCAGAGGAAUAGUCAAAAGACUUUCCUCGACUCUCCAACCCUAUGUUUACCAACCUUUGUUGCCUCGGCGCAGUCUUAAAAAGUAGAAAUACUUACUGCGCCAGAGGAUUUUUUAAAAACACUUUUCAAAAUUCUAUUCUGAAAUUUUGCUACAAAGCAAUUCAAAAAAAUUCUAAAAACUUUCAACAACGGAUCUCUUGGUUCUGGCAUCGAUGAAGAACGCAGC
rnacentral:misc_RNA from 1 species